UGAACAAACGGGCACGAAGAUAUCUAGAAUAAAACAAAACAGGGAGACAAACUUAGGUUAAAGCAACAACGGAAAAAGGAGAGGGAAGAAAAAAGAAAAUCAUAAAUGAUUAUCUUUGCAUGGGGAGGGGAGGGGGUCACUACCAGAUACACAAUCUAAACACAGAACAUUUAAUGUGAGACAGAAGAGGCGAAAGGACAGAGGGGGAACACAAGCAACAUGCGAACAGAGAAUUGAGGGCAGCGAUUACUCCCCUCGUACUGGAGGAAUUCUUCAACGAGUCGGACGGGAAGGAUUUACUCCAGACACCCGACAAGAACGUCAUUCGCAGGAGGAAAAGACGGAGGUAUCGUGGACGACAGUCCGGGUGCCUUGUAAGGAUCCGUCGCCGAGAGGAGUCAUGGCUGAACGACGAUAUGAUUAACAUACAGCUGGC